rnacentral:lncRNA from 1 species
ACUGGCCCCCUAAGCCUAGUUUCAUCUGGCUCCUAAAGCCCAGUUUCCACACUAGCCCAUAAGCCCAGUUUCCACACUGGCCCCUAAGCCCAGUUUCUACACUGGCCUAUAAGCCCAGCUUCGCCUGGCCCCUAAGCCCAGUUUCCACACUCGCCCAUAAGCCCAGUUUCACCUGGCCCAUAAACCCAGUUUCCACACUGACCCAUAAGCUCGGUAUCCACACUGGCCCAUAAGCCCAGUUUCCACACUGGCCCCUAAGCCCAGUUUCUACGCUGGCCCCUAAGCCCAGUUUCGCCUGGCCCUAUAAGCCUAGUUUUUACAUUGGCCCCCUAAGCCCAGUGUCCACACUGACCUCCUAAGCCCAGUUUCUACACUGGCCCAUAAGCCGAGAUUCGCCUGACCCAUAAGCCCAGUUUCUACACUGGCCCGCAAGCCCAGUAUCAUCUCGCCCCCUAAGCCCAGUUUCAACACUGACCCCCAUGCCUAGUUUCCACACUGGCCUACAAAGCCCGACUUACCUGGCACCUUGAGCUCAAGUUUUUCUUGUUGUUUCGACCCUCUGUAAGAUAAUGGUCAAACCCAACAAUUAACUCAUUCAUUCAUCCAUAGGGUUCUUACACCUUCCACGAGGUUAUUACACCUCAUUCAAUCAUCCAUAGGGUUGUUACAC